CUGUGGGCGAAUUAUAUGUCUGACUAAAUUCCUUAGGAGUAUAAAGUCUUUGUUCCACAUGACAAAUAAACUCUUCGUAUAAGCCAAUAUUCCCGAUUUCUUGCUCUACAUCAUUGCAGAUCAAAUCAUCGCUAAGGGUAUUUUCAAUACCACUACCUUAAAGUUACGACAACCCAAUAUUCAAAUCAUUGUUCCACCCGGCCAUCACUAGUAAUUAUAAUUCUAAGUUUUUGAACUACCAGCUAGUCUAGUUCGAAUGCAAGAUCUUAUGCAAACUUUAUUUUCAUAAUAUACUCAAAAACAUUAGUCAUAUAAAUCAAGAGUGUUUGUGAGGGCAUAUUUGGCUAGGGAAGU
rnacentral:lncRNA from 1 species